UAGAACCUGCGGAAGGAUCAUUACCGAGUUGAUUCGAGCUCCGGCUCGACUCUCCCACCCUUUGUGUACCUACCUCUGUUUGCUUUGGCGGGCCCGCGGUUCGGCCUCGUGCCGUCCAGCACCCGCCAGAGGACCACAAAACUCCAGUCAGUGAACGUCUCAGUCUGAAAAACAAGUUAAUAAACUAAAACUUUCAACAACGGAUCUCUUGGUUCUGGCAUCGAUGAAGAACGCAGCGAAAUGCGAUAAGUAAUGUGAAUUGCAGAAUUCAGUGAAUCAUCGAAUCUUUGAACGCACAUUGCGCCCCUUGGUAUUCCGGGGGGCAUGCCUGUUCGAGCGUCAUUUCAACCCUCAAGCUCUGCUUGGUAUUGGGCUCCGUCCUCAGGGACGCGCCUCAAAGACCUCGGCGGUGGCGUCUUGCCUCAAGCGUAGUAGAAAACACCUCGCUUUGGAGCGCACGGCGUCGCCCGCCGGACGAACCUUUGAAUUUUUCUUCAAGGUUGACCUCGGAUCAGGUAGGGCCAU
rnacentral:rRNA from 1 species